AGCUGGGCGUUUAUUUAGUCCGCUUGAGAAUUUUGCCCAGAACCAGUGAUUCUGUUGCACUCUAUUUUCAGGUGCUUCCAGGAAUGUGCAAGGUCAGGAGUCCAGUACGGCAGCGGCUCCCUCCCACCUUUAAAACCACUGUGUGGGAGGAGAGCCGUAGAAGGGUCCAGAAAAGAAGGAGCAAGCGAAGGGGAGGACGCGGAAGAAGGGCGCAGCAGGUGGGGCAAGAAAGGGAGGCGACCCCAGGAGGCCGAGAGGGUUUAUAGGCUCCUGAUACAGUGAAUCCAUCUUCAAGGGGCAGCACUUUGAGGCUUUUCUAGCCUUUGUAGCCAAUCUCGGAAAAGAGGAGAAGAUUUGGUCAGGGAUUAAGGCGGAAAGAUUGAUGAAGUCCAGAUAGUUGCAACAUGAGACGGGAAGAGGGACAAGGUGACUGCGGAAAAAACCAUCUCGAGUUUCUGCAGGAAAAUUAUGAAGAGUGGAAGGAAGCCUAAUCUGCCCCAGAAAUGCAAAGGCAUCUCAAGUCUCCGCUAACUACGUUCCUGGGAUGAAAUGCAGAAGUAUCACAGCUCUCACUUCACCCCCCCACCACAAACACUCGCACGACUGCCGCGGAAAUUUAAAGCUCUACGCGUAAGGACGUCAAUAUUUCAAUUUGGAAUUUUACACCUGAUUAAAGACACAGCCUCCCCUCCCUUUCAGUUUGUUCCAUGUACUGGUGGGUUUUGGUAAAUAUUUCUAUCUUCUGCAUAGGGUUAUGAAUAACUUAGAGGUCAGGGAAACCCUCUCCCCCCUUUUCCCACCUUUAAUUGUUUCUCCGGCAAGACUUACUUAUUGUGAGAGCUUAAUAAAUACCCUUAAUUAAAAUUUAAGAAAUGAAAUGUAUCCAAUUUACAAGGUGUUUGUUUACUGUACAAAAAUUAUAGACACAGGUUCACAACCUGUAGAAUGAUACUGAUCAUAGGGCCGACUAGGCAGAAGCAUACAUAGACAACUGAAAAACAUGUAAUGAAAUUUCAGAAAAAUAAAUACGACUUUUAAAAGAAAAAUCUCACUCUGGGAAAUACUAGAAGAAAAUAUUUGCUUAUAGCAGAGACAUGCAGUUUUCUCUAUUUGCCCCCUGCUCUCUGGCCCCCAGGCCUUUCUCUGCCUUUCUUCGCGCUCUAGGAAUACAGCUUCUAUGAACGUAAGUUUUUAUUUCUCUGAGAUAAAUGCCCAAAAGUACAAUUGCUGAGUUGUAUGUUCAGUGCAUGUUUUAUUUUGUAGGACAGCCCCAUUUUAAACUUUCCCAUAGCUCUGUCAAUAUUCUCUUAAUCCUUUGAGUUAGCCUUCUCUUUCCUGUUUGAACUGAUACACGGAAAUUGGAGAAAAAUGAAAUGCUGGAAAUAUAAGAAGUCUCUGAUUUUGUAAAAGUUGUUUCACCAUGUGAUCUCUGCAUGUAAGUAUAUAGGCCACCAAUUUGUUAAAACUCACAGCUGUAAACAUAGGUCAAGAAAGGUGAACAAAGAAAAAUCAUUGUCUUUCCCCACCUCUCACAAGAAAUCCGAGAUAACAUCAUCUUCUGAAAUACAUCAGCCAAGGCUUAAUUUGGCUCCGGUUAUACCUCUUAGCUAUUGUCUUCUAUAGAUCAUGUGGAUUCUACACAGUGAAAAAUAAAAACACCAAAAAGCUACAAAACUCAAAUUAACAGUAAAGUGAGAAUCACCCACCUAUAUGUGAAUGUGUGGUAUCACAAGCAUUUCCAGCAUUGCCUAGCACAACUGCGUAAGUUGUUAGAAAGGGCAGAGAACAUUACAGCAUGUCCAAGGUAUGGUCCUGAAAUAGUGGGAUGAUCUGAGCCUCUCUUCUAAUUAAAGUGCUACGUAUCGUUAAUCAUCCAUCCAUUCAUUAAUGCAUCCUGCAAAUAUUUGUUGGUCAUCUACUGUGUAAAAUGCAUUAUAUGGGGAAGUAAGUUAUCUCUCUAUGCUCCAAGUUAAUUCCCUGAGGACAGAGUAAUUCAUCAGAAGUAGCUUGAC